UCAAAGUUAAGACAUACCCAUCUUUAAUAGCCUGCCCCCUGCUAUGGUCUGUCAGGCUACUCAGCAUUUUUGAGCCCAAAAUAAUUAUAAUAAUUACAGUGAUACCUUGAUAUAUACAAGUUGGAUGAUUGUAUUCAGGGUCUUAUAGUCCUUAUCUCAUCAAACUCAUAGUAUUCAGAAUAUAUUUACUAUGUCCUAGGACAGUCCAGUGAGGUUUACCUUUGUUUCCACUUCAUGGGUGAUCAAUCAAUAGAAUGAGGCUAGAUAGCUCACCUAAGGUCACACAACUAACAGAUCUGAGCCCAAACCAGUGUUCUUCCCUCCAGUAACAUACAGCCUUUGGGCACCAGGUCACAGAAUGAGUGAUCCCAAUUUUGGUUACAACUCUUGAGGCCCUCUUCUGUUGUUGGCUAGUGCCUUUUGACCAAUGUUUCCACUUACCACUAUUUAGUAAAAAAUUAGUUUGAUUUGAUAAUCUAAAACAAUUUCCUCAAGCAAUGAUGUUUUCAGGUUUCACAAAGUAAAAACUACAAUUGACCAUUUUCAGAGGUCUCUCUAGAUGUUUGGGUUUUUAGAAAUGUCUCCUGUUUUUGUUGAAAUAAAUGGUACAUCCUUUGGAAACUACCUUGUGAAGGUGAGGCGCACACUUUUUCUUUCCAUGGCAUUAGUUAACAACAUUGUGGGGUGAUUUACAGAUUCACUUUUGCCAUACAAAGAUCGUUUGGGGUCUAAUUCCAUCAUAUGCAGCAAAAGUUCCUACAGGCUCAAGAUAUGGUAGCUACCAGCCGAAACAAAACCUUUUAUUUGGAGAUAAUUAACCUUAUAGUUAUUUUAGUCUUAAAGGGACUUUAGACUAGAUCGUCUUAAAUUUACAUCUUUAUUUGAAUAAUAAUUGAAGGUUUAGAAAAGGUAAAGAAGUCAAGUUUAUACUUGUGGUUAUGUUUUGCCUUAAGCUAAUAUAAAGUAGAACAAGAACCAAAUAAAUGUAGCAUAGCAGUAGAUAGUCCUUAAAUGUUCAGAAAGAGAUAUACUUGCAAGUUCCUUUUUUAUGCUAGGUCAUUGGAAACUCAAGUACUCAAUAUGUAUUUAUUAACUAAAUACACCUCAAUUUUUAAAAAGCUUAGGAAAGGUUUGCACACUUGGAAUUAUCUUCCGCUGUACACUGAGUACAUAGAAUAACUAGUAAGAAUGCUGACAGGUCUUUUUCUGAGGCUUCCAAAAGUAAAUCGAUCUGAUUCUGAAGUUUUACUGGAGCAAUGAAAUAUGGCACCACUAUCAGAAGGAGGGUGAUUGAAGAAGUAAAAGACCUAAAACAUUCCUAUAAAGUAAAUAAAAAUUCCCAUAUAAAAUAUAAUAGAUAUGACUAAAGGCUGCAGUGUUGGCAUUGGUUGCUCAAACACGCAAUACAGCAGAUCUUUUCAGGGUCCCUGGAGUGACUGUUUGUCCUUGAAAGUACUUAUCCCAAAAGUGAGCCAUCCAUGAAAUCCACCUACAACUAAGAUGCAUCAGAAACAAACAUCAAAAAAUGUACCAUUUAAACAAUCAUUAAUGACUAAUUGUCUCUCUGUUUCUCUCUUUGAAUCUUGCUUUGCAAACUAUUGGCUCAUUGGCUUGAGACAACUAUCCAACUGGGCUGGUGGAGUGAAGGAAAGGAAGAGACUAUUAUGGUUUAUUACAAGGAUUACAAAGCGAAUGGAGAACUUCUUACAGGACACUGGGUGCUAAAAGAUACCCAUGUUCAUCAAACAUUUGCCAGCAAAAUGUCUGCCAGCUAUCCGGAAGGGUGUGCAAUUCCUACAGAAUCCGGGGCUUGCGAAGGGAAUGGUCCGUGUUCCACAGGCAAUAUUGGCCGUUUAAUUACUGCCGUCUAGCUCCAGCUCCCAGUUUGGGUUGUGGUUUUUGAGGUUAUGAUGAUCAUUGAUGUACUCAUUAAUGAUUCAUUAAUCAUUGAUACACAUGA